rnacentral:lncRNA from 1 species
CGGGGUUCCACCUGGAAGCUGCUUGCAUGGCUGAACCCAGCUUAGGUCCCUGGCGGGGCUGCUGGUGGAAUUCUCCCCCUUCGAAGCUGGGGAGGUUUAGGAGGGGGAAGGCUUCUGUGAAGCUCUCAAACCACUAAUAGAGCCCCCUCCCCAACAGUGACGGCGCAGAUGCUCCCCCUUUUCUUAGUUGACACCACCAGGCAGCUUCCUGGCCGUUGGUAGGUUCCUGCAGCUGGCUGAGGGAACAGGGACCGGCAGGGGACUUUGUUAGGGGAGGGUUGGGGUGGGCAGUGGGCCCCUGAAAGUUAAUAUAUUGGAACCUAGCUCGAGUGUCGUUCUUUCCAAUUCCGAAAGUAGAAAGAGUAAAAAUAGGGGUGAUUGGGGUGGGGUUAGUAGAAUGCCUCUCUCAGGGCGCUCCCCCCUCCCCCACCGUUUUAGAGAGCUAGGCCUCAGCCAGUCUUGCCACUCCCAUCUCAGUACUUCCUGAAGAGGCUGUUUUGAGUGUUGAUGAAAAGCAAUGCAAUUAUGCCAAACAGUAUUGAGCAGAAUAAUUUAUUUCUUUUUUUUCUUUUGCUUUAAAUCAUGAAUCCCGCCAGGUACGGUGGCUCACACCUGUCAUCCCAGCACUUUGGGAGGCCAAGGCGGGCGGAUUACUUAAUACUUAAGGUCAGGAGUUCGACACCAGCCUGGCCAAUAUGGUGAAACCUCGUCUCUACCAAAAAAAAAAAAAAAAAAAAAAAACAAAAAUUAGGCAGGCGCAGUGGUGCGCACCUGUAAUCCCAGCUGCUUGGAAGGCUGAGGCAGGAGAAUCCCUUGAACCCAGGAGGCGAAGGUUGCAGUGAGCCGAGAUUGUGCCACUGCACUCCAGCCUGGGCGACAGAGCAAGACCCUGUCUCAAAAAAAUUAAAUCAUGAAUCCCCAUCCUGGAAGAGGAGGCACCUCAUUCCUGGACUCUGCGCUCCAAGACACUGAAAUCUGAGCGGGUACAAGCAUUUUGGUUAAAGAUCAGCUCGUUGUCGCCUCUUGAGUUUCCUCCAGGAGAGGAGUUCAUUGGAGAGGAUUCCUGGUAGCAGCUCCUCGCAG